rnacentral:rRNA from 1 species
CCUACGGGAGGCAGCAGUGGGGAAUAUUGCACAAUGGGGGAAACCCUGAUGCAGCGACGCCGCGUGAGUGAAGAAGUAUUUCGGUACGUAAAGCUCUAUCAGCAGGGAAGAAAAAAAGUCUUUUGGACUUUGGACGGUACCUGACCAAGAAGCCCGGGCUAACGACGUGCCAGCAGCCGCGGUCUUACGUAGGGGGCAAGCGUGAUCCGGCGUUACUGGGUGGUAAGGGAGCGUAGACGGCAGCGCAUGUCUGGAGUGAAAUGCCGGGGCUCAACCCCGGAACUGCUUUGGAAACUGUGCAGCUGGAGUGCAGGAGAGGUAAGCGGAAUUCCUAGUGUAGCGGUGAAAUGCGUAGAUAUUAGGAGGAACACCAGUGGCGAAGGCGGCUUACUGGACUGUAACUGACGUUGAGGCUCGAAAGCGUGGGGAGCAAACAGGAUUAGAUACCCGAGUAGUC